CGCGCAGGCGGUUGGGUAAGUUAGGCAUGAAAGCUCCCUGGCUAAACCGGGAGAGGAUGUCUGAUACUGGUCAACUGGAGUACGAUAGAGGGUGUAGAAUUCCGCGUGUAGUGGUGAAAUGCGUAGAGAUGCGGAGGAAUACCAGUGGCGAAGGCGGCACCCUGGAUCGAGACUGACGCUGAGGCGCGAAAGCAUGGGGAGCGAAC
rnacentral:rRNA from 1 species